rnacentral:rRNA from 1 species
UGCCUUAUGCAUGCAAGUCGAACGGUCUUAAGCAAUUAAGAUAGUGGCAAACGGGUGAGUAACGCGUAAGUAACCUACCUCUAAGUGGGGGAUGGCUUCGGGAAACUGAAGGUAAUACCGCAUGUGAUGGGCUGACAUAAGUCGGCUCAUUAAAGCCGCAAGGUGCUUGGUGAGGGGCUUGCGUCCGAUUAGCUAGUUGGUGGGGUAAUGGCCUACCAAGGC